rnacentral:tRNA from 1 species
GCCGGCAUAGCUCAGUCGGUAGAGCAGCGCAUUCGUAAUGCGCAGGUCAGGGGUUCGACUCCUCUUGCCGGCAUCA